UGGGGAAUCUUGCGCAAUGGGCGAAAGCCUGACGCAGCGACGCCGCGUGCGGGAAGAAGGCCUUCGGGUUGUAAACCGCUUUCAGGAGGGACGAAGCCACUCGGGUGAAUAGCCCAGAGGGUGACGGUACCUCCAGAAGAAGCCCCGGCUAACUACGUGCCAGCAGCCGCGGUAAUACGUAGGGGGCAAGCGUUGUCCGGAUUCAUUGGGCGUAAAGAGCGUGUAGGCGGCCAGGUAGGUCGGUUGUGAAAACUGGAGGCUCAACCUUCAGAGGUCGAUCGAAACCAUCUGGCUAGAGUCCGGGAGAGGGGAGUGGAAUUCCUAGUGUAGCGGUGAAAUGCGCAGAUAUCAGGAAGAACACCCGUGGCGAAAGCGGCUCUCUGGACGGUACUGACGCUGAGACGCGAAAGCGUGGGGAGCGAACAGGAUUAGAUACCCUGGUAGUCCACGCCGUAAACGAUAGGGCGCUAGGUGU
rnacentral:rRNA from 1 species